rnacentral:rRNA from 15 species
GACCUCGAAUCAGGUAGGACUACCCGCUGAACUUAAGCAUAUC